UAGGGAAUCUUCCGCAAUGGGCGAAAGCCUGACGGAGCAACGCCGCGUGAGUGAUGAAGGUCUUCGGAUCGUAAAACUCUGUUAUUAGGGAAGAACAAAUGUGUAAGUAACUAUGCACGUCUUGACGGUACCUAAUCAGAAAGCCACGGCUAACUACGUGCCAGCAGCCGCGGUAAUACGUAGGUGGCAAGCGUUAUCCGGAAUUAUUGGGCGGAAAGCGCUCGUAGGCGGUUUUUUAAGGCUGAUGUGAAAGCCCACGGCUCAACCGUGGAGGGUCAUUGGAAACUGGAAAACUUGAGUGCAGAAGAGGAAAGUGGAAUUCCAUGUGUAGCGGUGAAAUGCGCAGAGAUAUGGAGGAACACCAGUGGCGAAGGCGACUUACUGAUCUGUAACUGACGCUGAUGUGCGAAAGCGUGGGGAUCAAACAGG
rnacentral:rRNA from 1 species